GUGAGGAAUAUUGGUCAAUGGACGGAAGUCUGAACCAGCCAUGCCGCGUGCAGGAAUAAGGUCCUAUGGAUUGUAAACUGCUUUUAUUCGGGAAUAAACCUCUUUACGUGUAGGGAGCUGAAGGUACCGAAGGAAUAAGCACCGGCUAACUCCGUGCCAGCAGCCGCGGUAAUACGGAGGGUGCAAGCGUUAUCCGGAAUCAUUGGGUGUAAAGGGUCCGCAGGCGGGCUAUCAAGUCAGAGGUGAAAUCCCACAGCUUAACUGUGGAACUGCCUUUGAAACUGAUGGUCUUGAAUUAAGUGGGCGUUGGCGGAAUAUGACAUGUAGCGGUGAAAUGCAUAGAUAUGUCAUGGAACACCGAAAGCGAAGGCAGCUAACGAUACUUAUAUUGACGCUCAUGGACGAAAGCGUGGGUAGCGAACAGGAUUAGAAACCCUAGUAGUCC
rnacentral:rRNA from 1 species